rnacentral:rRNA from 1 species
UACGUAGGCAGCGAGCGUUGUUCGGAAUUACUGGGCGUAAAGAGUGUGUAGGCGGUGUUCCAAGUUCGGUGUGAAAUCUCCCGCUUAACUGGGAGGGUGCGCCGAAAACUGGAAUGCUCGAGCGUGGGAGAGGAAAGCGGAAUUCCUGGUGUAGCGGUGAAAUGCGUAGAUAUCAGGAAGAACACCCGUGGCGAAGGCGGCUCUCUGGGACGGUACUGACGCUGAGACGCGAAAGCGUGGGGAGCGAACAGG